UACGUAGGGGGCAAGCGUUGUCCGGAUUUAUUGGGCGUAAAGAGCGUGUAGGCGGCUUUACAGGUCCGUUGUGAAAACUCGAGGCUCAACCUCGAGACGCCGGUGGAAACCGUAAGGCUAGAGUCCGGAAGAGGAGAGUGGAAUUCCUGGUGUAGCGGUGAAAUGCGCAGAUAUCAGGAAGAACACCCGUGGUGAAGGCGGCUCUCUGGGACGGUACUGACGCUGAGACGCGAAAGCGUGGGGAGCGAACAGG
rnacentral:rRNA from 1 species